rnacentral:rRNA from 2 species
UUGAAGAAGCCUUUCAGAUGGUAAAACACCUUAAGCAGUCAAGAAGACUCCUCCGGUUAAUGCCCGGAGACGAUGACAUUAGCUGCAAGAAUAAGCACCGGCUAACUCUGUGCCAGCAGCCGCGGUAAUACAGAAGUGCAAGCGUUAAUCGGAAAUUACUGGGCGUAAAGCGAGCGUAGGUGGCUUGAUAAGUCAGAUGUGAAAUCCCCGGGCUUAACCUGGGAACUGCAUCUGAAGCUGUUAGGCUAGAGUAGGUGAGAGGGAAGUAGAAUUUCAGGUGUAGCGGUGAAAUGCGUAGAGAUCUGAAGGAAUACCGAUUGCGAAGGCAGCUUCCUGGCAUCAUACUGACACUGAGGCUCGAAAGCGUGGGUAGCAAACAGGAUUAGAUACCCUGGUAGUCCACGCCGUAAACGAUGUCUACUAGUCGUUGGGUCCCUUGAGGACUUAGUGACGCAGCUAACGCAAUAAGUAGACCGCCUGGGGAGUACGGCCGCAAGGUUAAAACUCAAAUGAAUUGACGGGGGCCCGCACAAGCGGUGGAGCAUGUGGUUUAAUUCGAUGCAACGCGAAGAACCUUACCUGGUCUUGACAUAUCUAGAAUCCUGCAGAGAUGCGGGAGUGCCUUCGGGAAUUAGAAUACAGGUGCUGCAUGGCUGUCGUCAGCUCGUGUCGUGAGAUGUUGGGUUAAGUCCCGCAACGAGCGCAACCCUUGUCCUUAGUUACCAGCGGGUUAAGCCGGGAACUCUAAGGAUACUGCCAGUGACAAACUGGAGGAAGGCGGGGACGACGUCAAGUCAUCAUGGCCCUUACGACCAGGGCUACACACGUGCUACAAUGGUAGGUACAGAGGGCAGCUACACAGCGAUGUGAUGCGAAUCUCAAAAAGCCUAUCGUAGUCCAGAUUGGAGUCUGCAACUCGACUCCAUGAAGUAGGAAUCGCUAGUAAUCGCGGAUCAGAAUGCCGCGGUGAAUACGUUCCCGGGCCUUGUACACACCGCCCGUCACACCAUGGGAGUUGAUUGCACCAGAAGUGGAUAGCUUAACCUUCGGGGAGGCGUGCACCAACGGUGGGUGGGGCG